rnacentral:rRNA from 1 species
AUUGAACGCUGGCGGCAUGCCUUACACAUGCAAGUCGAACGGUAACAGGUUAAGCUGACGAGUGGCGAACGGGUGAGUAAUGUAUCGGAACGUGCCCAGUCGUGGGGGAUAACUACUCGAAAGAGUGGCUAAUACCGCAUACGACCUGAGGGUGAAAGCGGGGGACCGUAAGGCCUCGCGCGAUUGGAGCGGCCGAUAUCAGAUUAGCUAGUUGGUGGGGUAAAAGCCCACCAAGGCGACGAUCUGUAGCUGGUCUGAGAGGACGACCAGACACACUGGGACUGAGACACGGCCAGACUCAUAAGGGAGGCAGCAGUGGGGAAUUUUGGACAAUGGACGAAAGUCUGAUCCAGACAUGCGGCGUGCGGGAUGAAGGCCUUCGGGUUGUAAACUGCUUUUGUACGGAACGAAAAGCCCUGGGUUAAUACCCUGGGGUCAUGACGGUACCGUAAGAAUAAGCACCGGCUAACUACGUGCCAGCCGCCGCAGUAACAC